rnacentral:rRNA from 1 species
UAUCCUACGGGGGGCAGCAGUGGGGAAUAUUGCACAAUGGGGGGAACCCUGAUGCAGCGACGCCGCGUGGGUGAAGAAGUCAUUCGUGACGUAAAGCCCUAUCAGCAGGGAAGAAAAUGACGGUACCUGACUAAGAAGCCCCGGCUAACUACGUGCCAGCAGCCGCAGUAAUACGUAGGGGGCAAGCGUUAUCCGGAUUUACUGGGUGUAAAGGGAGCGUAGACGGCAUGGCAAGUCUGAUGUGAAAACCCGGGGCUCAACCCCGGGACUGCAUUGGAAACUGUCAGGCUAGAGUGUCGGAGAGG